GUUAACGAGGCGAACCGGGGGAACUGAAACAUCUAAGUACCCCGAGGAAAAGAAAUCAACCGAGAUUCCCCCAGUAGCGGCGAGCGAACGGGGAGCAGCCCAGAGUCUGAAUCAGCUUGUGUGUUAGUGGAACGGUCUGGAAAGUCCGACGGUACAGGGUGAUAGUCCCGUACACCAAAAUGCACAGGCUGUGAACUCGAAGAGUAGGGCGGGACACGUGGUAUCCUGUCUGAAUAUGGGGGGACCAUCCUCCAAGGCUAAAUACUCCUGACUGACCGAUAGUGAACCAGUACCGUGAGGGAAAGGCGAAAAGAACCCCGGCGAGGGGAGUGAAAAAGAACCUGAAACCGUGUACGUACAAGCAGUGGGAGCACCUUUAGGUGUGACUGCGUACCUUUUGUAUAAUGGGUCAGCGACUUAUAUUCUGUAGCAAGGUUAACCGUAUAGGGGAGCCGCAGGGAAACCGAGUCUUAACUGGGCGUUAAGUUGCAGGGUAUAGACCCGAAACCCGGUGAUCUAGCCAUGGGCAGGUUGAAGGUUGGGUAACACUAACUGGAGGACCGAACCGACUAAUGUUGAAAAAUUAGCGGAUGACUUGUGGCUGGGGGUGAAAGGCCAAUCAAACCGGGAGAUAGCUGGUUCUCCCCGAAAGCUAUUUAGGUAGCGCCUCGUGAACUCAUCUUCGGGGGUAGAGCACUGUUUCGGCUAGGGGGUCAUCCCGACUUACCAACCCGAUGCAAACUACGAAUACCGAAGAAUGUUAUCACGGGAGACACACGGCGGGUGCUAACGUCCGUCGUGAAGAGGGAAACAACCCAGACCGCCAGCUAAGGUCCCAAAGUCAUGGUUAAGUGGGAAACGAUGUGGGAAGGCACAGACAGCCAGGAUGUUGGCUUAGAAGCAGCCAUCAUUUAAAGAAAGCGUAAUAGCUCACUGGUCGAGUCGGCCUGCGCGGAAGAUGUAACGGGGCUAAACCAUGCACCGAAGCUGCGGCAGCGACACUAUGUGUUGUUGGGUAGGGGAGCGUUCUGUAAGCCUGCGAAGGUGACCUGUGAGGGUUGCUGGAGGUAUCAGAAGUGCGAAUGCUGACAUAAGUAACGAUAAAGCGGGUGAAAAGCCCGCUCGCCGGAAGACCAAGGGUUCCUGUCCAACGUUAAUCGGGGCAGGGUGAGUCGACCCCUAAGGCGAGGCCGAAAGGCGUAGUCGAUGGGAAACAGGUUAAUAUUCCUGUACUUGGUGUUACUGCGAAGGGGGGACGGAGAAGGCUAUGUUAGCCGGGCGACGGUUGUCCCGGUUUAAGCAUGUAGGCUGGUUAUCCAGGCAAAUCCGGAUAAUCAAGGCUGAGGUGUGAUGACGAGGCACUACGGUGCUGAAGUAACAAAUGCCCUGCUUCCAGGAAAAGCCUCUAAGCAUCAGGUAACAUCAAAUCGUACCCCAAACCGACACAGGUGGUCAGGUAGAGAAUACCAAGGCGCUUGAGAGAACUCGGGUGAAGGAACUAGGCAAAAUGGUGCCGUAACUUCGGGAGAAGGCACGCUGGUGUGUAGGUGAAGCCCCUGCGGGUGGAGCUGAGACCAGUCGAAGAUACCAGCUGGCUGCAACUGUUUAUUAAAAACACAGCACUGUGCAAACACGAAAGUGGACGUAUACGGUGUGACGCCUGCCCGGUGCCGGAAGGUUAAUUGAUGGGGUUAUCCGUAAGGAGAAGCUCUUGAUCGAAGCCCCGGUAAACGGCGGCCGUAACUAUAACGGUCCUAAGGUAGCGAAAUUCCUUGUCGGGUAAGUUCCGACCUGCACGAAUGGCGUAAUGAUGGCCAGGCUGUCUCCACCCGAGACUCAGUGAAAUUGAACUCGCUGUGAAGAUGCAGUGUACCCGCGGCAAGACGGAAAGACCCCGUGAACCUUUACUAUAGCUUGACACUGAACAUUGAGCCUUGAUGUGUAGGAUAGGUGGGAGGCUUUGAAGCGUGGACGCCAGUCUGCGUGGAGCCAACCUUGAAAUACCACCCUUUAAUGUUUGAUGUUCUAACGUUGGCCCCUUAUCGGGGUUGCGGACAGUGUCUGGUGGGUAGUUUGACUGGGGCGGUCUCCUCCCAAAGCGUAACGGAGGAGCACGAAGGUUAGCUAAUCCUGGUCGGACAUCAGGAGGUUAGUGCAAUGGCAUAAGCUAGCUUGACUGCGAGCGUGACGGCGCGAGCAGGUGCGAAAGCAGGUCAUAGUGAUCCGGUGGUUCUGAAUGGAAGGGCCAUCGCUCAACGGAUAAAAGGUACUCCGGGGAUAACAGGCUGAUACCGCCCAAGAGUUCAUAUCGACGGCGGUGUUUGGCACCUCGAUGUCGGCUCAUCACAUCCUGGGGCUGAAGUAGGUCCCAAGGGUAUGGCUGUUCGCCAUUUAAAGUGGUACGCGAGCUGGGUUUAGAACGUCGUGAGACAGUUCGGUCCCUAUCUGCCGUGGGCGCUGGAGAAUUGAGGGGGGCUGCUCCUAGUACGAGAGGACCGGAGUGGACGCAUCACUGGUGUUCGGGUUGUCAUGCCAAUGGCACUGCCCGGUAGCUAAAUGCGGAAGAGAUAAGUGCUGAAAGCAUCUAAGCACGAAACUUGCCCCGAGAUGAGUUCUCCCUGAGACUUUAAGUCUCCUGAAGGAACGUU
rnacentral:rRNA from 1 species